GAGGGUAUAGCUCAGUGGUACAGUGCAUGCCUAGCAUGCACGAGGUCCCGGGUUCAAUCCCCGGUACCUCCA
rnacentral:tRNA from 1 species